rnacentral:rRNA from 1 species
AGUGAACGCUGGCGGCAGGCCUAACACAUGCAAGUCGAGCGGCAGCGCGGGGGCAACCCUGGCGGCGAGCGGCGGACGGGUGAGGAAUUCGUCGGAAUCUGCCUCUUUGUGGGGGAUAACGUCGGGAAACUUACGCUAAUACCGCAUACGUCCUACGGGAGCAAGUGGGGGACGGCAGGGACUCACGCAGAAAGAUGAGCCGACGACCGAUUAGCUAGUUGGUGGGGUAAAGGCCCACCAAGGCGGCGAUCGGUAGCUGGUCUGAUAGGAUGAUCAGCCACACUGGGACUGGGACACGGCCAAUACGCCUGCGGGAGGCAGCAGUGGGGAAUAGUGGACAAUGGGCGCAAGCCUGAUCCAGCCAUGCCGCGUGUGUGAAGAAGGCCUUCGGGUUGUAAAGAACUUUUUUCCGGAAAGAAAUCCCUGGGGCUAAUACCUUCGGUGGAUGACGGUACCGGAAGAAUAAGCACCGGCUAACUUCGUG